AGAAAACGGACACAGUCGUGGCAUCAUCCAAAAAAACAACUCCUCCGUGACAACACCUACCACAUUACUUCCUCGAACAGCUUGAAUCUAAUUCUAAAAAGAGACGGCAGACACCCUAAUCAAUCGCAGGAACCCCUCUUCUUCACCAAACACACAUAACCCCAGUUCAGCUCCCUUGUUAGAAAUCCCUUCUCGUCACCUUUCUUAGCUUUGGGUCAUAUUUCAAUUCCUCCACUUGAAUGAUUUUAUUAGUUUUGGAGUGAUCUCCACAAUUGGAUGCAAUGUCUUAUUUUAUAAGAAGCUUAGUAGAUGGUUAAUUUUAUCAAGGCAUUUCUGUUUCUGUAUUCAUGUGUUCGGGUUCUUCUUCAAUAAAAAAAUCUUCUUUUUUGAUGUUUGUGUGAGGAAUAUGAAUCCAAAGUUGCUUCUAUUUUAGAAAAAAAGAGUUGUCCAAAUGCUUGAAUACACAGCAAAUUGAGUAGAAUCGUUUGAGCAAAAAAACAAUUUCCGAAAAAACUGAGUUCGUGUUCAAUUCGGGGAUUCGUCGAGGAUCAAAGUCUUAUGUUAGCUACCGAUUCGGGAUGCCGUUCGAGAUUUUGUCAUUGGUUCGAGGUUUGCAUCAGUAGCUCAUCUCACCUGUUUGGAAAUCUUCUUUCAUUGUACACGGUGAAAAUUUGCCGCAGUAGAGGUCCGUUUCUAACUUUCUUCUUCAAUGUUUCUUGUAAUAUUCCUGUGAAUGAAUUGAUAAAGAUGGUUAUCUUCUGUACCUUGAAAUCUUAUCUUGGUGUGCAGUUUGGUUAAAUUAGAUCUGUGGUUAACGAGCGUACAUGCUAAAUUGUAUUUGAGGAAAGUCGUUUGAAUUAAUACAGUGAGUCAGCAAGAACGUGAAUUAACCGAGGUUUUAAUUUCUUUAAUCACUUUGGUUGAUCUAUUAUGAUUGAAUGUUUUACCUCAGUUGAAUGGGAUGCAUUGAUUUAGUAGAACUUUUAAUAACAUUUGGCCACGAGCUUUGUCAUUAAAUGAGUGGGAAUUUGAGUUUAUUGGGCCACAAGCUUGGCAUUAAAUGAAAGAAAAUUGGAGUGUAUCACUGUAUUCUGUUAAUUAGUCAUAAGAGCAUGUUAGGCCGCGAACCUUUAGGCACGUAAUUAAAUCAUCACAACUACGGGUACGGUUCCCGUGGCGUAGUCGUGAUACCUAAUUUCAAAUUAGUUUUAAAUAUGAACAUCCGUAGUUCGCUUUAGUUGAGUACAAAUCUUUUUUUUUAAAUAAGUUGAGGUGCACCAUACACAAACAAAAUUCAUAAUCUAUGGCCCUCCUAUUAAUUAUUUUAACUAGUAUAGAAAAUGCCUUGAACUCUCGUAGUUUGCUUUAGGCGCGUUUAUGUAAAUAAAUUAUCACAGCUACAGGUACGGUUCCCGUGACGUAGUUGUGAUGCCUAAUUUCUAAAUCCGGGGGUACAUUGAUGUGACCCGACCAUAAUUUAAUCUUGUUAAUAAAAUAAACACUUUGUAGAUUGUGGGUACGAUUCCCGUGACACGAUUCUCAAUGUGUAAUUAAAAUAAUUAGUUAUAUAAAUAUUGGAGCAUUAAAAGCGGUUUAGAAGGAAUAAAAUGCACAUAGGUUCCAAAAAUAUUUUAAAAUCAGAUAAAUAGGCCAAUAAUAAUAGUUGAGCAACCGUGCUAAAACCACGAAACCCGAGAAUGCCUAAUACCUUCUCUCGGGUUAACAGAAUUCUUUACCCGAAUUUUUGUGUUCGCGGACUGUAAAACAGAGUCAAUCUUUCCUCGAUUUAGGAUUUGAACCGGUGACUUGGGACACCAUAAAUUAUCCCAAGUGGUGACUCUAAACAAUAAAUAAAUAAUCUUGUUUCGAUUGUCACUUAAAUUGGAAAAAAACUCCCUUAUAUCCUUUCCGGGGUAGAAAAAGGAGGUGUGACACAGUGCGUAUUCAAUAUAGACUUGGGUUUGAUGCCCCCGAGUCUUAAUAUAGAUUAAUCAGUAUGCCAUAAACAGUUGAAGUUUUAGUGUUCAUAAUCAGUUCAAGAAUAUAUGUCUCAGUCUAGUCUUAUUUAGUAUUCCAAUAUUAUGUAACUCUGUGUGAUCCAGUAUUCCAGUAUCAUGUAUUGCAGUUUGAUUCUCAGUUCCUGAAUGUUGAACACUUGUAUUUGCGCCUGAGGUUGUAGUUUAUAUGCUUUAUGCAUACUUGGGCCUAAGGCCAUAGUUUAUGCUUUAUGCAUUUUGGGCCCGAGGACGUAGUUAUGUAUACGUAUACUUGGGCCUGAGGUCGUAGCUUGUGCACAUAUAUAUUUGGCACGAGGCCAUAGCUUAUUCAAAUAAACAGGUUGUUCAUCAUUCAGAAGAGGGAUUAUUCAUAUCCUUACUUCCUUUAUCAUUUCAGUUAUCAGUUAUUUGUUCAGUUACUAGUUAUCAGUUCAGUUAUCAGUUAUCAGUUCAGUUAUCCGUUAUCAGUUAUCAUUUCAGUUUCAGUUUCAAUAGUUAUCAUUUCAGUUAUCAAUUAUCAUUUAUCAACUUAGUUUCAGUUUUAGCAUUUUUAAUUCUUUCUUUCAGUUGUAUUACAUAUCAGUGCAAUUCAAAUGUGCCGACGUCACUUUUGCUCGAGGCCUGCAUCUCACGAUGCAGGUAAUGAUUUACAGGUUGAUGAUUCAGAGCGCUAGGAUUCUCGUACCAGCUAUUUGGUGAUCCCCAGUUCUUUCGGGGCAUUAUCAUUACCUUACAAUCUUCAGUAUUUUUAGAUAAUUAGUGUUUUCAGUACUUCAUUAGAGGCUUCAUAGACUAGAGUAACAGUUAGACAGAGUCUCAGGCCUUUCAUGUUAAGCAAUGUUAGCUACAUAUAUAUUUCAGACUUGUUUUAGUAUUUCUGCACUUUGAUUUAUAUCAUCCAAACUUUCAGUAUA
rnacentral:lncRNA from 1 species